UACGAAGGGGGCUAGCGUUGUUCGGAAUUACUGGGCGUAAAGCGCACGUAGGCGGAUAUUUAAGUCAGGGGUGAAAUCCCAGAGCUCAACUCUGGAACUGCCUUUGAUACUGGGUAUCUCGAGUCCGAGAGAGGUGAGUGGAAUUCCGAGUGUAGAGGUGAAAUUCGUAGAUAUUCGGAGGAACACCAGUGGCGAAGGCGGCUCACUGGCUCGGUGCUGACGCUGAGGUGCGAAAGCGUGGGGAGCAAACAGG
rnacentral:rRNA from 1 species